rnacentral:rRNA from 1 species
UGGGGAAUAUUGCACAAUGGGCGCAAGCCUGAUGCAGCCAUGCCGCGUGUGUGAAGAAGGCCUUCGGGUUGUAAAGCACUUUCAGCGGGGAGGAAGGCGAUAAGGUUAAUAACCUUGUCGAUUGACGUUACCCGCAGAAGAAGCACCGGCUAACCCCGUGCCAGCAGCCGCGGUAAUACGGAGGGUGCAAGCGUUAAUCGGAAUUACUGGGCGUAAAGCGCACGCAGGCGGUCUGUCAAGUCGGAUGUGAAAUCCCCGGGCUCAACCUGGGAACUGCAUUCGAAACUGGCAGGCUAGAGUCUUGUAGAGGGGGGUAGAAUUCCAGGUGUAGCGGUGAAAUGCGUAGAGAUCUGGAGGAAUACCGGUGGCGAAGGCGGCCCCCUGGACAAAGACUGACGCUCAGGUGCGAAAGCGUGGGGAGCAAACAGG